rnacentral:rRNA from 1 species
GAACGAGAAAGGGGAGCAAUCCCUGAGUAAAGUGGCGCACGGGUGAGUAACACGUGACUAACCUACCCUUGAGUGGGGGAUAACUGAGGGAAACCUUAGCUAAUACCGCAUAACACCUACGGGUCAAAGGAGCAAUUCGCUCGAGGAGGGGGUCGCGGCCGAUUAGUUAGUUGGCGGGGUAACGGCCCACCAAGACGAUGAUCGGUAUCCGGCCUGAGAGGGCGCACGGACACACUGGAACUGAAACACGGUCCAGACUCCUACGGGAGGCAGCAGUGGGGAAUUUUGCGCAAUGGGGGAAACCCUGACGCAGCAACGCCGCGUGGAGGAUGAAGUCCUUCGGGACGUAAACUCCUUUCGAUCGGGACGAUUAUGACGGUACCGGAAGAAGAAGCCCCGGCUAACUUCGUG